UUGUAAAAUGUAGCGUAUUAUAACAUUGACUUCACUUUGGGCUGCUUGUGGUUUUAUUUCCUAGACAAUUUAAAUGUUUUGGCUACAGUCAAUCGCUACAGUUUAGAGACAAACCAAGUCUCUAUCUAGGAGUCGCUCGACGCUAGCUAGUUCCAGAGUCUACACCGGAUGUAGCCAGUCAGCAUUUGUUCGAUUGAAUGACAAGACAGCAGCCAUGAAUUGCCGUGGACUACGUGCUCAUCUGAAGGACAGUGUUCCAGUCACAGGUCUCCAAGCAGGAUCUUAUGGCGUCCAGGACACGUUCCGAAGCGGGUUUUCCAGUGUGAGGAACGAGCUACUCCCCAGUCAUCCACUGGAACUCUCAGAGAAAAAAACGGGAGACCUAAGCUUGGUUUAUAACUGGCCUUACCUAUUCACAAACACAUGUAGCUCCAUAAGAAAUGCACUCGUACAUGAAUAACUGAACUUCCAUAAGAUUGUGUUUAGUUUGGACACUAUACCUCCUUUUUUAAAUGAACUGUGCAUAAACCUGAGUGUAAUAGGUUUUGAGUUGUUUUUCCAGUUCCAGCUAAACCAGGACAAGAUGGAUUUUUUAACUCUUAGGAACAUUCAGGGCCUCCAUGCUCCUCUUAAACUACAGAUGGAGUUCAGGGCAACAAGACAGGUAAUAUUCAUUCACACACUGAAAUGGACUACACAGGCAUGUGGUAGUAUCUGUCUUUCCCACACUUUAUUACACUGUCAUCUUAUCCUAGCAGACUCAGCGCUUUCCCUUCCUACAACGGGUGCGUUCGUAAAUUCACUCUGGCUAUCUACGGGACCACCCAUACACAAAAAAUGUAUGCACGCAUGACU